rnacentral:rRNA from 1 species
GGAGGGCGUUUACCACGGUAUGAUUCAUGACUGGGGUGAAGUCGUAACAAGGUAACCGUAGGGGAACCUGCGGUUGGAUCACCUCCUUACAGAAAGGGUACUUGAGGUGUUAGCUAGGCGUGCUCACACAGAUUGUUUGAU